GCGGGUGUAGUGUAACGGCAGCACACGACCCUUCCAAGGUCUUAGAGGCAGUUCGAAUCUGCUCACCCGCU
rnacentral:tRNA from 1 species